CGCUGGCAGCGCUGCGUGGCUUUAAGCUGUUUACGCGAGCUCAGGAGGCGACAGCGAGGGGUAUUUUUAGCUCGCCGGGUAGCAGAGCAGGAUUAAAAUGCAGUCAGUGUUACAGACGCUGGGGCUGAAUCAGUAUUCCUGCACAAACCUCUCCGUGCCAGCAUCUUCCAUUGAGUGUCUGAAAAAGCCGAGUUUCCAUGGAGACCCGGCUCCAGGGCAACCCGAUUCCUCGUUAAAAAGCAGCAGCUGCUCUGCCAUCCCCAGCCUGCAUGGAACCACUCGCAUCCCCUGCCUUGUUCUCCAGGACUGGGAGCAGCCGCUGUGAUGGGCUUUGAGCUCAGGGUGUUGCUGAGGCACAGCUGCAGCAUUGAGACAACAGUUGGUUUGUCCUGUUCUGGGUAUUAAAAGGGGGAAAAACACCUGUA